GAACACGCUCCGACCUUACGGAAGGCGUGCUUUUAUUAGGAACAAGAUCAACCGGGCUCGUCCCGAUACGUUGGUGAACUCUGGAUAACUUAGCAGAUCGCACGGUCUCUGCACCGGCGACAGAUCCUUCAAACGUCUGCCCUAUCAACUUUCGAUGGUACGUUAUGCGCCUACCAUGGUCGUAACGGGUAACGGAGAAUCAGGGUUCGAUUCCGGAGAGGGAGCCUGAGAAAUGGCUACCACAUCCGAGGAAGGCAGCAGGCGCGCAAAUUACCCACUCUCGACACGGGGAGGUAGUGACGAAAAAUAACAAUACAGGACUCUUUCGAGGCUCUGUAAUUGGAAUGAGUACACUUUAAAUCCUUUAACGAGGAUCUACUGGAGGGCAAGUCUGGUGCCAGCAGCCGCGGUAAUUCCAGCUCCAGUGGCGUAUAUUAAUGCUGCUGCAGUUAAAAAGCUCGUAGUUGGAUCUAGGGCGUAUGCUAACGGUCCCUCGCAAGGGGUGCACUGUUUGUUCAUAGCCUCCCUCGCGGCUUGCGCCCGGUUCUCUUAACUGAGUGCCGGGUGCGGCCGGAACGUUUACUUUGAAAAAAUUGGAGUGUUCAAAGCAGGCGCAACAGCCUGAACAGCAGAGCAUGGAAUAAUGGAAUAGGACCUCGGUUCUAUUGCGUUGGUUUUAAGAGUCCGAGGUAAUGAUUGAGAGGGACUGACGGGGGCAUUCGUAUUGCGGUGUGAGAGGUGAAAUUCUUGGAUCGCCGCAAGACAGACUACA
rnacentral:rRNA from 1 species